rnacentral:rRNA from 1 species
UACGAAGGGGGCUAGCGUUGCUCGGAAUCACUGGGCGUAAAGCGCACGUAGGCGGAUUGUUAAGUCAGGGGUGAAAUCCUGGAGCUCAACUCCAGAACUGCCUUUGAUACUGGCGAUCUCGAGUCCGGGAGAGGUGAGUGGAACUGCGAGUGUAGAGGUGAAAUUCGUAGAUAUUCGCAAGAACACCAGUGGCGAAGGCGGACUCACUGGACCGGAACUGACGCUGAUGCGCGAAAGCGUGGGUAGCAAACGGGAUUAAGAUGACCCUAGUAACGUCAGACCCAAG